GGUUCUGUCUAGCUCAACUGGUGGAGCAUGGCAUUAACACUGUCAGGGUUAGGGGUUUGAUUCCCUACUGUUGGAUUACGGCGCCCA